rnacentral:rRNA from 1 species
UACAGAGGGUGCAAGCGUUGUUCGGAAUUAUUGGGCGUAAAGGGUGCGUAGGCGGGUCUUUAAGUCAGGGGUGAAAUCCUGGAGCUCAACUCCAGAACUGCCUUUGAUACUGAGGAUCUUGAGUUCGGGAGAGGUGAGUGGAACUGCGAGUGUAGAGGUGAAAUUCGUAGAUAUUCGCAAGAACACCAGUGGCGAAGGCGGCCCACUGGCCCGAUACUGACGCUGAGGCACGAAAGCGUGGGGAGCAAACAGG